rnacentral:rRNA from 1 species
UACGGAGGGGGUUAGCGUUGUUCGGAAUGACUGGGCGUAAAGCGCGCGUAGGCGGAUCAGGAAGUUGGGGGUGAAAUCCCGGGGCUCAACCCCGGAAUGGCCUUCAAAACUCCUGGUCUUGAGUUCGAGAGAGGUGAGUGGAAUUCCGAGUGUAGAGGUGAAAUUCGUAGAUAUUCGGAGGAACACCAGUGGCGAAGGCGGCUCACUGGCUCGACACUGACGCUGAGGUGCGAGAGCGUGGGGAGCAAACAGG